rnacentral:rRNA from 1 species
AGCGAACGCUGGCGGCAGGCCUAACACAUGCAAGUCGAACGAACCUUUCGGGGUUAGUGGCGGACGGGUGAGUAACACGUGGGAACGUGCCUUUAGGUUCGGAAUAACUCAGGGAAACUUGUGCUAAUACCGAAUGUGCCCUUCGGGGGAAAGAUUAAUCGCCUUUAGAGCGGCCCGCGUCUGAUUAGCUAGUUGGUUGAGGUAAUGGCUCACCAAGGCGACGAUCAGUAGCUGGUCUGAGAGGAUGAUCAGCCACAUUGGGACUGAGACACGGCCCAGACUCUUACGGGAGGCAGCAGUGGGGAAUCUUGCGCAAUGGGCGAAAGCCUGACGCAGCCAUGCCGCGUGAAUGAUGAAGGUCUUAGGAUUGUAAAAUUCUUUCACCGGGGACGAUAAUGACGGUACCCGGAGAAGAAGCCCCGGCUAACUUCGUG